CCUACGGGAGGCAGCAGUGGGGAAUAUUGGGCAAUGGGCGAAAGCCUGACCCAGCAACGCCGCGUGAAGGAAGAAGGCUUUCGGGUUGUACACUUCUUUUGACAGGGAAGAGCAGAAGACGGUACCUGUCGAAUAAGCCACGGCUAACUACGUGCCAGCAGCCGCGGUCAUACGUAGGUGGCAAGCGUGGUCCGGAUUUACUGGGUGGAAAGGGCGUGUAGCCGGGCUGACAAGUCAGAUGUGAAAUCCGGGGGCUCAACCCCCGAACUGCAUUUGAAACUGUUGGUCUUGAGUAUCGGAGAGGCAGGCGGAAUUCCUAGUGUAGCGGUGAAAUGCGUAGAUAUUAGGAGGAACACCAGUGGCGAAGGCGGCCUGCUGGACGACAACUGACGGUGAGGCGCGAAAGCGUGGGGAGCAAACAGGAUUAGAUACCCCUGUAGUC
rnacentral:rRNA from 1 species